rnacentral:rRNA from 1 species
CCUACCUUUAACAGGGGGAUAGCUCCGAGAAAUCGGGAUUAAUCCCUCAUAGUAUCAUUUUACCACCUGGCAGAAUGAUUAAAGCUCCGGCGGUUAAAGAUGGGCAUGCGUGCCAUUAGCUAGUUGGUGAGGUAACAGCUCACCAAGGCGAUGAUGGCUAGGGGUUCUGAGAGGACUAUCCCCCACACUGGUACUGAGACACGGACCAGACUCCUACGGGAGGCAGCAGUAAGGAAUAUUGGGCAAUGGACGCAAGUCUGACCCAGCCAUGCCGCGUGCAGGAUGACAGCCUUAUGGGUUGUAAACUGCUUUUAUCAGGGAAUAACCGCUCGUACGUGUACGGGUCUGAAUGUACCUGAAGAAUAAGCAUCGGCUAACUCCGUGCCAGCAGCCGCGGUAAUACGGAGGAUGCAAGCGUUAUCCGGAUUUAUUGGGUUUAAAGGGUGCGCAGGCGGAUAGAUAAGUCAGUGGUGAAAGCCUACAGCUCAACUGUAAAAUUGCCAUUGAUACUGUUUAUCUUGAGUGUAAAUGAAGUGGGCGGAAUGUAGCAUGUAGCGGUGAAAUGCAUAGAUAUGCUACAGAACACCAAUUGCGAAGGCAGCUCACUA